GAUGAACGCUAGCGGGAGGCCUAAUACAUGCAAGUCGAACGGCAGCGGUUGUAGCAAUACAAGCCGGCGAGUGGCGCACGGGUGAGUAACGCGUACGCAAUCUACCCCCUACCGGGGCAUAGUCACGGGAAACUGUGAAUAAUUCCGUAUGAGGUUUUGUGGCCGCAUGGCCGUGAUACCAAAGUCUUCGGGCGGUAGGGGAUGGGCGUGCGUCUGAUUAGGUAGUUGGUAGGGUAACGGCCUACCAAGCCGACGAUCAGUAGGGGGCGUGAGAGCGUGGCCCCCCACACGGGUACUGAGACACGGACCCGACUCCUACGGGAGGCAGCAGUAAGGAAUAUUGGUCAAUGGUGGGAACACUGAACCAGCCAUCCCGCGUGCAGGACGAAGGCCCUCUGGGUUGUAAACUGCUUUUAACAGGAAAGAAACGAGUGGACUUGUCCGCUCCUGACGGUACCUGUGGAAUAAGCACCGGCUAACUCCGUG
rnacentral:rRNA from 1 species